AUCCCGGAAAUUCAGAAGUAUAGUUGAAGGGCUAAAGUGUAAAUAAGAAGGUCGACUCGGCGAGUCAAUGGGUAGACUCGGCGAGUCGAGUCGCGAUUUGGUCAUGUGCUAAGUGACUGACUCGGCGAGUCGGCGGCUAGACUCGGCGAGUCAAUGCUGGAAUGAGAAAACCCUAAUCGUGGGAGUUGUGCCCUAUAUAAAGAACAUAACACUUUUUCCCCAGCCUCUUUACCUUCCUUUUGAGUUCCAGAAACCCUAGAUUCGUGUGAGCUUUCCUUGGUGAGAGAUUAGAGCCUUGGAGGAGGGAAUUUUGGAAGGAAAUUGAAGAGCAAGAAGAUUGGAGCAAGGGGCUUUGCAGAGAUUUGGUUCAUUCUUCAGUUGGAGCUUUCUUUUGAGUGAUUUGGUGUUGGCUAGUGGUGGAGAUCGUGUCAGUGGUCGGAGCAGCUUGGUCUUAUCUUUUCAGUCGGCAGUUGCAGGUACUUCAGGAGACCGUGGCAAGGCAAAGGCGUGAUCGUACCGCUCCUCGUGUUUAUGUUUUAUGAUAUGGAUCUGGGAAAAAUACUCUAAUAAUAAAAGUAUUGAAAGCCUUUUUGUAAUGAAUUAAUGAAAGUGAGUUGUUUUUGAAAAGUUUAAAUUGGUUUGAAUUUUUACGGU